ACUCAAAGGAAUUGACGGGGACCCGCACAAGCAGCGGAGCGUGUGGUUUAAUUCGAUGCAACGCGAAGAACCUUACCAGGACUUGACAUGCAACUGCACCACCCCUAAUCGGGUGUCCCGUUCGCGGGCGAUUGCACAGGUGCUGCAUGGCUGUCGUCAGCUCGUGUCGUGAGAUGUUGGGUUCAGUCCCGCAACGAGCGCAACCCCUGCCACUAGUUAGGAUGUCUAGUGGGACCGCCGCGAUCAACGCGGAGGAAGGCGGGGAUGACGUCAAGUCAGCACGGCCCUUACGUCCUGGGCUACACACACGCUACAAUGGUCGGAAACAACGGGUUGCCAACCCGCGAGGGGGAGCGAAUCCCAGCAAAACCGGCCUCAGUUCAGAUUGCAGGCUGCAACUCGCCUGCAUGAAGGAGGAGUUGCUAGUAACCGUGGGUCAGCACACUACGGUGAAUACGUUCCCGGGUCUUGCACACACCGCCCGU
rnacentral:rRNA from 1 species